rnacentral:rRNA from 1 species
GAUGAACGCUGGCGGCGUGCUUAACGCAUGCAAGUCGAACGGGAAUUAUUUUAUUGAAACUUCGGUCGAUUUAAUUUAAUUCUAGUGGCGGCCGGGUGAGUAACGCGUGGGUAACCUGCCUUAUACAGGGGGAUAACAGUCAGAAAUGGCUGCUAAUACCGCAUCAGCGCACAGAGCUGCAUGGCUCAGUGUGAAAAACUCCGUUGGUAUAAGAUGGACCCGCGUUGGAUUAGCUGGUUGGUGGGGUAACGGCCCACCAAGGCGACGAUCCAUAGCCGGCCUGAGAGGGUGAACGGUCACAUUGGGACUGAGACACGGCCCAGACUCCUACGGGAGGCAGCAGUGGGGAAUAUUGCACAAUGGGGGAAACCCUGAUGCAGCGACGCCGCGUGAAGGAAGAAGUAUCUCGGUAUGUAAACUUCUAUCAGCAGGGAAGAUAGUGACGGUACCUGACUAAGAAGCCCCGGCUAACUACGUG